AACGAACGCUGGCGGCAGGCUUAACACAUGCAAGUCGAGCGCCCCGCAAGGGGAGCGGCAGACGGGUGAGUAACGCGUGGGAAUCUACCCAUCUCUACGGAAUAACGCAUGGAAACGUGUGCUAAUACCGUAUACGUCCUUCGGGAUAAAGAUUUAUCGGAGAUGGAUGAGCCCGCGUUUGAUUAGCUAGUUGGUGGGGUAAAGGCCUACCAAGGCGACGAUCCAUAGCUGGUCUGAGAGGAUGAUCAGCCACACUGGGACUGAGACACGGCCCAGGCUCCUACGGGAGGCAGCAGUGGGGAAUAUUGGACAAUGGGGGCAAGCCUGAUCCAGCCAUGCCGCGUGAGUGAUGAAGGCCCUAGGGUUGUAAAGCUCUUUCACCGGUGAAGAUAAUGACGGUAACCGGAGAAGAAGCCCCGGCUAACUUCGUGCCAGCCGCCGCGGUAAAAC
rnacentral:rRNA from 1 species